rnacentral:rRNA from 1 species
UGAGUUUGAUCCUGGCUCAGAAUGAACGCUAUUAGGACAGUUGACACAUGCGAGUUUAAAACUAUUAAAAAUUGUACUUUUUAGUUUUGAGCGUAUAGGUGAGUAAAAUAUAAGGAUUUAUUUUAUAUUCAAUUUAAUUUUAUAUAAACUAAACUUAUAAGAGAUUAGAUUGUUGGUUAAGGUAAAAGCUUACCAAGUCCGUAAUCUCUAGUCGGUUUGAAAGAAUGAUCGGCCACAGUGGUAUUGAAAUAAAGGCCACCCAUUAUAAUAAUGGCAGCAGUGACGAAUCUUGGGCAAUGAAAGCAAUUUUGACCCAGUAAUCCUAAUUGAGGGAAGAAGAUUUAUUUUGUAAACCUUAUUUUAUGAACUACAAAAAUGAUUUUGUUCAUGAAUUUUAGUGGAGGCAAAUUCCGUGCCAGCAGCCGCGGUAAUACGGGAUCCACAAGCGUUAUUCGGUAUUAAUCGGCGUAAAGCGUUCGUAGGUUGUUAAGUUUUGUUACAUGUUAAAUCUUUAAGCUGUACUUAAAAAUUGCGUGUAAAACAUCUUAGCUUGAGUAAUGUAGAAGAUGAUAGAAUUUUUAAAGGAGAAAUAAAAUUUUAAGAUAUUAGAAGGAAUUUCAGAAGCGAAGGCGGUCAUCUAAACAUUUACUGACACUGAGGAACUAAAGCAUAGGUAGCGAAAAGGAUUAGAUACCCUUGUAGUCUAUGCCCUGACCGAUGAAUGCUAAAUGUUAGUCUUUUUUUAUUUUUAUAAAUUUAGGUUAGUGUUACAGUUAACACGUUAAGCAUUCCGCCUGAGGACUACGAUCGCAAGAUUAAAACUCAAAGGAAUAGGCGGGUUUAUCCACAAGCGGUGGAGCAUGUGAUUUAAUGCGAUAAUACGCGCGGAACCUUACCAAUUUUUGUAUAAUUUUUAUUCACAGCUCGUUGAUGUUAUAUUAACGUUUAAAAAAUUACAGGUGUUGCAUGGUUGUCGUCAGUUCGUGUCUUGAGAUGUAUGGUUAAGUCCGUUAACGAACGCAACUCUUAUUUUUAAUAAACUUUCUUAUUUAUUAACAUUUUAAAUAAAUAAAAAAAAUUUUAAAAAAACUGCCUGUGAUAAGCAGGAGGAAGGUGAGAAUCACGUCAAAUCUUCAUGACCCUUAUAAAUUGGGCUAUACAUGUGCUACAAUGGUAACUACAAUNAGAAACAAAAAUGNAAAUUUUAGUGAAUCUUUAAAAGUUAUCUAAGUUCGNAUCAUAGACUGCAACUCGUCUAUGUGAAGUUGGAAUCGCUAGUAAUCGCANAAAAGAANGNUGCGGUGAAUUUGUACCGAUAAGCUGCACUCACCGCCCGUCAUAUCGAGGGAGUUAAAAAAAUUAAAAGUUUUAUAACUGAGUAUUAUAGCUAUAUUAUUUAAG